rnacentral:rRNA from 1 species
UGGGGAAUAUUGCACAAUGGGCGAAAGCCUGAUGCAGCAACGCCGCGUGAGUGAUGAAGGUCUUCGGAUUGUAAAGCUCUGUCUUUUGGGACGAUAAUGACGGUACCAAAGGAGGAAGCCACGGCUAACUACGUGCCAGCAGCCGCGGUAAUACGUAGGUGGCGAGCGUUGUCCGGAUUUACUGGGCGUAAAGGGUGCGUAGGCGGAUGUUUAAGUGAGAUGUGAAAUACCCGGGCUUAACUUGGGUGCUGCAUUUCAAACUGGAUAUCUAGAGUGCAGGAGAGGAGAAUGGAAUUCCUAGUGUAGCGGUGAAAUGCGUAGAGAUUAGGAAGAACACCAGUGGCGAAGGCGAUUCUCUGGACUGUAACUGACGCUGAGGCACGAAAGCGUGGGUAGCAAACAGGAUUAGAUACCCUGGUAGUCCACGCCGUAAACGAUGAGUACUAGGUGUAGGAGGUAUCGACCCCUUCUGUGCCGCAGUAAACACAUUAAGUACUCCGCCUGGGAAGUGCGAUCGCAAGAUUAAAAC